UGGGGAAUUUUGCGCAAUGGACGAAAGUCUGACGCAGCGACGCCGCGUGAGGGAUGAAGGCCUUCGGGUUGUAAACCUCUUUCGGCAGGGAAGAAGCGAAAGUGACGGUACCUGCAGAAGAAGCACCGGCUAACUACGUGCCAGCAGCCGCGGUAAUACGUAGGGUGCAAGCGUUGUCCGGAUUUAUUGGGCGUAAAGAGCUCGUAGGCGGUUCGUCACGUCGGGUGUGAAAACUCAGGACUCAACCCUGAGCCUGCACUCGAUACGGGCGAACUGGAGGACGGUAGGGGAGACUGGAACUCCUGGUGUAGCGGUGAAAUGCGCAGAUAUCAGGAAGAACACCGGUGGCGAAGGCGGGUCUCUGGGCCGUUCCUGACGCUGAGGAGCGAAAGCGUGGGGA
rnacentral:rRNA from 1 species